UUGUAAAAAAUUUGGGCCUGACAGGAAAAAGGUGAGUGUUUACCCACGAGAAGUGCAACCUGAGAAUCCCAACAGUUAUAGAGCAAGGAAGAGGGAGUAUUUCAGGAUGAGGCACGAACGCAGAAAGGCUAGAGAAGCAGGACCAGUACUUUAACCCCAACUGGUGCUAGCUUCUAUUCCUGAUGUUGCCAUCACUAAUCCAGUGUGCUGAUACAUGU